CACUGUCAAAGCAAACAUGGCAAAGCUACUGUAUACCUGGGCUGAGGCAAAGAAUGUGGGGACCAGGCCAUGUAUAACCCCUGCGAACUGGGCAAGGAGGCACCUUUUAAACGUAGUGAUUCUCUUUAUUUAGCAGGGGGAGAAUAACUGGCUCUAUCCACCCCCAGCACGGAACCUCCAGUGACUGUAGCUGGUGUCUAUCCAAUGUUUCUUUUUAGCUUGUGAGCCUUUUGGGGACAGGGAGCCAUCUUAUUUAUUAUUUCUGUAUGUAAAUAGCUUUGGAAACUUUUGUUGAAUAUCAUACUUCUGCGUGUGCAUGCGGAAGGUAAUUAUUUCAAUGCAUGGGUCAUCCUUGUUGGACUGGAGUGAUGGUUUUUAAUAUUUUGUUAUUUCAGCCAGGAACGGGGAACUACCAUAAAAAUAUUUAUGAAGUCAUCCUACUUGGAAUAUGUGCAUAGGUGAAAGUGGGCAGGAACCAACAGCCACUUUGGAAGCUCCCCCGGCCCUGCCCCGCACCAGCAGAACAGAACAAACGUUCUUUGAAUGGAUUAAAAAAACUUAUUCCAGCAUCCCAAGCUUUCUAAGAUUUCCUUAUUGCAGGUUAAUAAUGGAUUCUGCACAAUAUACUGUAAAAAUCACACAAUAAGCCCACAAUUCUCACAAUGCUUUUUCAUUCCAUAUUAAUAAUAUGCUGGAGCUAUGAAUCUGGCUACAUCAAUGGAAACUUUAUUACUGAAAAAGAGAAUCAUGAUCUCUUUGUAAGUUUGUUUGCUUGUGAAUUACAAUGUGAGGGUUUCUGGAUUUCAUUAGUUUUGUUUAAUAAACAAACAGGAAUGUUCCAGCAAUUUUGUUUUGUUGAACGCUUUUGGUCAAAAACAAACGCUACAAGAAACAAACACACUGGUAUGUGUUUUUGAUACAUUUGUAUGUAUCAAAAAAGUUCACUACAAAGAGAAAUAAAAUAGAGAAGAUUUACAUAUUGUUAUGGCCCAGGCCACUCAUAUUGGACCAGAACUCAUAGCCUAGCGGGCCAGGCUGAGGCCUGUGUGUCUUUGUCAGCAAUUCCAUUGAGAGAAACACUGAUGCAAGGCCUCACUCAACUCUGAGUGAAAUGAUUAACUCCUAGGAAACAAGCUGGAAACUAAUCCCUUACUUCCUAUGACAGAAUGCUUAUGUUGAUGUCACCUAUAUUGUUCUUCCUUAGUCAAAUGUGUUAACUAGCCUCAAACAUGUAUCCCUUGGCUGUUACUUUAAACAUUCUUUUUUUAGAAUUACACAUUAAGUAGAUGUACACAAGAAGUAAUUUAAUUGCUGUCUCACACAUAUAGCUUAGUUUCUUCCUUCUUAAACAACCUCUUUUGAACUUUUAACACUCUUUGAAGCAAGAGGAGCUAGGAGCCUGCCUCUUAGGCAAAGACAGACCAACAACUUAAGAAAUGCAGAUGUUUGGGAGAACAAAACAAGCAAAUUGCUUCUGACAACAAAAAGACAGUAUGUAGAGGAUGCUGCUCUGAACUGCUCUAACAAAGAAACAGCUUUUGUCAUGAGAGGGAAGUUUUAUGAUAAGAGUGACUGACACUUUCCAUGGACAGAGACUGUCUGUGACCUCUGCUGCACAGUAAGAAGUCAGGACUACCCAGCCAUGGUGUUCUCUCUCUGCCUUGCUCUGAGCAUCUACCACCAGCCUGCCUGACUGCUUGAAGCCUGCAUUGCUCCCAAGCCCCAACAAUGAACAAGUCCUUUGAAGCCUUCUCCGUGAACCUGGUGAGAUGCCUAUACAGCUAACAGCUCAGCCUUCUCCCCACUUCCCUUCUCCCUACUAAUCUCUCCCAUCCCUUUCCUAAGCCCUCCCUUCUUUCUUCUCUGUUUUUCUCUAAAUGUUUUAUUAGGAGUUGUUAGACAGCUGUAAUUAUUGAUUGCACACACAUGUGAUAGCUAGGCACAUUGCACUACACCUUGAACUGGAAACGUGUUUAAUUUGGAUGACCUGUUUGAAUUUUAUCCUGAUGAGCAACUCUCUAUAAUAAAGCCCAUUGAACUUUC